rnacentral:tRNA from 1 species
GGAGAGGUGGCUGAGUGGUCGAAAGCACAUCCUUGCUAAGGAUGCGUAGGUUUAUCCUACCUAGGGUUCGAAUCCCUACCUCUCCG